UACGUAGGGUGCAAGCGUUGUCCGGAAUUAUUGGGCGUAAAGAGCGUGUAGGCGGCCUUUUAAGUCCUGCGUGAAAUCCUGCGGCUCAACCGCAGACGGUCGUGGGAAACUGGAAGGCUAGAGUGCGGGAGAGGAGAGUGGAAUUCCCGGUGUAGCGGUGAAAUGCGCAGAUAUCGGGAAGAACACCCGUGGCGAAGGCGGCUCUCUGGAACGCAACUGACGCUGAGACGCGAAAGCGUGGGGAGCAAACAGGG
rnacentral:rRNA from 1 species